AGCUGUAUGUUAUAGGAACCAAAACUUAUUUAAGCUAUUUUCAUUACCUACAUGUAACCUUAUGCCCAUGAAAAGUUGAUUUUCCAAAAAAAUUGCAUAAGUAAAUAUUGGUCUUAAUUAUUUCUGGAAUCUAACCCAAAAGCACAAGUUCCUCCACUCCCUUGUGGCUGCAUGUUUCUAGCUUGGCAUUUAUAUUGUUUAAAUUCUGAAAGUAGAAAAAACACUUCAAAGUAGUAUUAAACAAUUGUGAAAAUGUAUUGCUGAAUUGAAAUCUAUUACAGUAUAUCAUUUGAAGUUCACUUAUAAAUCAUAAUUAUGAUUAGCCAACACAAAGAGGAUUAUGUUUCAAGCAAUAAAUUUCAAGGGCAUAAAUAAAGAGACUUUCUAAAAGACACACCGGCUCAUAACGAUUCGAGAUAUAGAUUUCUAAGUUCUAACCUUUGUAUCAAUGAAAUGGCACCAUGAGGGUGAAUUAGUCACAAAUUUAACAGGAAAACAUAAUAUAUAAUCACAUAUUUAACAGGAAAACAAAAUAUAUAGCACUUGUUUUCUCUAACCCCAAUUGUUAAUCUUUUUAUUUUUUUAUUACCAUGAUAUACCACUGCAGUUAGCAGCGAUGAAUAAUCUCCGUCGGUGAACCUCUGGGACACACAAGGUAGGUUCUCCUCUCCCAACCGAAUUCUUUCCAUACGUAAGAGCCAAGAAUGAACCCCUGACUACUUGUAAAUCAUAAUUAUGAUUAGUCAACGCAAAUAGGAUUAUGUUCCAACAAUAAACUUCAAGGGCAUAAAUAAAGAGAUUUUCUAAUAGAAACACGGGCUCAUAACGAUUCGAGAUAGAGAUUUCUAAGUUCUAACCUUUGUAUCAAUGAAAUGGCACCAUUAGGGUGAAUUAGUCACAAAUUUAACAGGAAAACAAAAUAUAUAAUCACAUAUUUAACAGGAAAACAAAAUAUAUAGCACUUGUUUUCUCUAACCCCAAUUUUUAAUCUUUUUAUUUUUUGAUUACCAUGAUAUACCACUGCAGUUAGCAAUGAAUAAUCUCCGUCGUGGAACCUCUGGGACACACAAGGUAGGUUCUCCUCUCCCAACCAAAUUCUUUCCAUACGCAAGAGCCAAGAAUGAACCCCUGACCACUUGCUUAAGGGCCCAAGACACUUACCACUUGGACUAAUUCAUUGUUUGUGUCCCCAUUGUUAAUCUAAAGCUAGGAUAUGGAAAUUUUAUCCCAUGAACAACCAAUUCACAAAUAGUGGAGAAUCAACUUAGAAAAUAAUACACAUAAAGAAUCAUGAGAUAUUAUAACAAAAAGGGUCGUUACUGUUAGUAAUAACUGAGAUUUAAUUCAUUGAGGACUUUCCACAAACACAUUAAAGUAUAAACGAAAUAGUAGAGAAGUUGAAGCAUAUCUUUGUAUAAGGAGAAGGAAAAACUCAUCUUGGAGUUGACUUGAGAAGCAGUAGAAUUUUGGGGCAUGGUGGUGAUGAUGAAUACAAAACACAAUCAAAGUUCGAUUGACGAUGAUGUUAGUGUUUUUCCUUAGAAUGCAGAACUUGCCUUUCUUUUCGGUGGUUUCU
rnacentral:lncRNA from 1 species